ACCGCGAUAGCAUAGCCGGUACAGAAUCCGCCUGGCAGGCGGAAUGCCACCGGUUCAAUUCCGGCUCGCGGUG
rnacentral:tRNA from 1 species